AAUAGUGUCUAAAUAUGAUUAAGUGUCUUCCCAGAGAAAAGUCAAAGAGGCUCCUAGUGUUAAUUUCCAUAUUGCUUAAGACUUAAGCUUUUAAUUUAUUUUAUCAAGGUUGAGGGAGUAUGGUAAUUGUUGGAACAACGCCCUUCCAAAAGAAAUAGCCUGCACUUGUUUUUAAGUUAAAUUUGUUUUCUCACACAGAUUUUUGAUACACUCUUAAAUAAACUAGAAAUCACAAUUAUUUUAAUGUGGCAGAGUUGUAACCAGGAAAUUGCAUAUAUUUUCAUAAACUAGGCUGUUAUAGAUUUUUAUAACAUUAUAAGAAAUGUUAUUUCUUAUAACAUUAUUUUAAGAAAUUUUUUUAACGUCUUUCAACCCUGAAAGGGCCUGCUUGAAACAUACACGGCAGCAAAAUCACUGGAGUCCAGGGUUUUUGUCACACACACACACAGCACAGAUUUUUUUGAUUAUGUAGAUUUCUUUUCCUACUGCAGUUUCAUAUGCAAAGCAUGCAUCAGCCACAUCCAUGCUAUCUCCUAAAGCAGUCAUUCUGAAACCCAAUCUGGGGACAGUGCAGACUAAAUAAAAUUUCAUUUUGAUUUGGCCUCCCGCUGCGAAUGGGACUGCUUUGUCUCAGCCGACAGAACCAGCAAGCCAGAAAGUGGUUCUACCAGGUGGAGGAGGACUUGAGUUGGCCUAUGUUCACCAUCCUAAGGUUCAGCACACUGAGGUUCUCCACUACCCAGUGGCAGCUCCUUACCUCAACAAGGGAAGUUUAUUCCCCCAGCCGUGACCCCGGCACCUCUCCACACCGUGUAUCCUGUCUGGUGAGUGAGCUGCCUUGUCUUCUAAUGUGAAUACUCCUCUCCUGCACCUUAGAAAAAACUUCUGCAUUUUGUUCCUUGUUCAUUUUCAUUGUACAUGCUUUUUAUCGCCUUCUCUACUGCCCUACAACUAAGC
rnacentral:lncRNA from 1 species